AGGCUGGGGACUUCAACCAGUACUGAUGCUUUGCUUGUCUGGUGGCUGCUCACUCAUCGCCCAACCCGCACCUGACGCGCAGUUUCGUGAGCCCUGGCUCGCCGCCACCAGCUCUGUGGGUGAGCUGUGGCAGCGCUGGCACCAGCUGUUCCGAAUGACCUUUGUGCGGCUGGCCUACCGCCCCGCCCGAGCCCUGGUGCGCCGCCUGAUGCUGGCGGCGGCGGCCGAUGGCGGUGGCGGUGGCGCUGGUCGCUCACGCAGCAGCGGCAGCACAAGCAGCAGCGAAGGUAAGAUGGGGCCCGACGGCGGCGACAGCAAGGGCGAAGGCAAGGGCGGAAAGCACCAGGCACACGCCCACGCCGACGCACGCAGCAACAUUGCCGCCAUCAACGCCGCCGCCCCCAACGGCGUCGCCGCCGCCACCAGCUCCGCCGCCGCCAUCGCCGCCGCCCCGCCCUCCAAGUUUGCGAGGCGGCUGGAGGAGGCGGCGGGCCUGGUGGCGGUGUUCGCGUUGAGCGGCACCAUCCACGAGUACAUGUGUUGGGCCGCGUUUGGCGGCGCCGGUGGCUGGCAGCUGUCCUUCUUCCUGCUGCACGCCGUAGCCGUCCUAUUGGAGCAGGCGCUAGGGUUGCCGUUGGCGCCUGAGAGCGACUACGCCGCAAUAGCUGCUGCUGCUGCCGCCGCCGAGGCAGCGCAGGCGGUAGCAGCUGGCGGCGGCGGUGCGGGGGCGGAUGCGGCGAAGGCGGCGCGGGGCAAGUGGCGGCGGCGGCGGGCGGCGCUGGCGCGGGCGGCGGUGCGCGUCGUUCACGGCGCGUGUGUGUUGGCGUUUAACUUCCUGACCAGCGUGCUGUUCAUGCGGCCUUGGCUCCAGGGCAACUACCACACCGAGUUCUGGCACCCCGUGUCGCCGGUGGGGUGGGCGGUGCGGCGGCUGCGGGAAGCGCUGGCGGUGGCGGGGGUGGCGGCGGGGGCAGCAGGUUGGGUUGCAGGCGGGGUGGAUGUGGGCUCGGAGCUGUAGAAGGCUUGUCAGCGCCAGGGUGUGUUGAGCCUGCAAUGUCGCAGAUGUGUCGUAUCUUGUCAGUUUUACGCAUCCCGGUAUCCCGGCGUGGAUAUACGAAUGACGCAGCACCUGUGGCCUGACGCAUGAAUGUAUGAAUGCAUGCACGUCAAGCUGACCGAUGUACACCGUGAAUUUAUGUGAGGGAUCAGGCCAAGUGGGCAGGAGUGCGGCAAGCCGGCAAGCAUGCACGACAAGCAUCAAUUGCCUAAACCGUACGUGGCAUGCCCUGAGACUGCAGUCGAUAAAACAUGACACGUCCAGGUGGCCUGGAAAUGCGAACAUUGAUGUACCGGUACUACGAGUCGUGUGUCUGACACUGAGCAUAAUGGUGGGCAUUUGCAUGCUUAGGGGCAUGAGCGCGGGCCACCCAAGCACUAAUUAUAUUACAGCGAAAAGACCACCCACAAGGUUUGCAUGCUUGGUGGCAUGAGCGCGGUGGUGGCAAUGGAGCCAUGCGUGUAGAUGACACGUCUGCAUUUACUGUACCGUACUGUCGUCAUUGUGUCACACUAUGUAAGUCUACUGCCGCCGCCAUCUGUCCACACAUCCGAAAAACAAUGAUGGUGCCAUACCAGGGAACACGUACCCGCCCACAGCCCCCAUCCAAGCACCGACCUAAGACGCGGCUAUAUCACCCCAACCGCCGCCACGCCAGCACCUUCGCGCGGUACCUCCUCCACGCCCAGCCACUGCGCCCCACUCCACCCCAUCAUUCCCUCCUGCACCCCAGCCCCCCAGCCUCCCCCUCCUCCCCCUCUUCCCCCUCCUCCCCCUCCUCCCCCUCUUCGCCCUCCUUCCCCUCCUCCCCCUCCGCUUCUGCCUCCACUGCCUCCGCCUGCAGCCGCCUCAGCCUCUCCACCACCGCCGCAAAGGUCGGCCGCUCCUCCGGGCUGUCGGCCCAGCAGGCGCACACCAGGUCGGCCAGGCCGGCGGGGCAGGCGGGCGGCAGCGGCGGCCGCUGGCACUGCACCCCCACCACGAAGAUAACCUGCGGCGAGCGAAGGCCGACGGGGGGCAGGCGAGCUCAGCGAGGAGUGUGUGUGUGUGUGUGUGUGUGUGUGUGUGUGUGUGUGUGUGUGUGUGUGUGUGUGUGUGUGCUUACAAGGUGGUGCGCACGGCCUUUGUGUGCCUUCCUGCCUCGUGGAAACCGGAGGCCCGGGCCGGGGUGACCAUCAUAACGCCAACAGCAUUGCUAGCGGGGCCUCCAAGGUUGUGAGGCGGGACGGGCGGACACGUGCGGGUGGUGUGUGCGUGUGUGAGUAUGUAUGCGUGGUUGCUGACACGGCACGGCAGCACUUGCGUAUGAGAGACAGAGGUGUGGGGUUGUGCGCCCCGCCCCCCUGCGCACCUGCAUGGGGUUCUGCAGGUCGCGCCAGGGCUGCUCGCCGGUGAGGCACUCGUACAGCGUCAUGGCGAACUGUAUGUCCAGCGGUUGGGUGGAAUGGGUGGAAUGGAUGGCGUGGAAUGGGUGGAUGGAAGGAGUUAAGAGUGAAUGAGAUUGAAGGAGUGGAUGUGUGGGCGGGCAACGGAUUGAAGGGCAGUGUAGGCAUAUGGGACAUGAAAAAGGCAAAGCAAGUGCCUAAUGUAGUUGCGGCCGGAUGUGGCAGCAGCCCCACACCCAGCAGCCCUCCCCAGCAGCUGUCCCAGCGCCACCCAGCAGCGCCCAGCCACACACUCACCGCGUACACGUCCACCUUCUCGCUCACGGGGCGGCCCUCGAACUGCUCAGGAGCUGAAGCAGCAGCAGCCGGGAUGGAGCGGCGGCGUCACAGGCGGCCGUGAGGACGACGUGGAGCAGGCCGCACCCCCAGCAUACAGACGACCGCCCGCAUGUUUCCAGUCCCUUUACACACCGAGACACGCUUAGUCUAUUACCCAAGCAAGCCCUCGACCUUCGAGCACAUCGCGCCUGCCCAUGCAUCCACGCAUUCAUCCAACUCACCCAUGUACGCGGGUGUGCCGGCGUGUGCGUUGCGAGUGGACAGCAGUGUGCGGUCCUUGAUCUUGGCGAUGCCGAAGUCGCACACCUUGGCCCGACCCGACCCGUCCAACAACACGUUCUGCGGCUUAAGGUCUAUGCAGGGGGGGGGUGCAUGCAGGAGCGGGCGUUAGUGCGUUCGCGUGUUUGUGACGAGUGCACGUCCAUGAAGUUGCGAGGAGUGGAAGGAACAUAGCUUGAUGUGCACGAGGACAAAGCGCACGGCCGCCGCGAAUAGGGAGGGUUCAGCUGUGAAGCCAUCGCCUAGAGGCCAGCAGCUAGAGGCCAGAGCAGAGCCGUAUGCCACCCACGGAACACACAAGUGCCUUAAAAGACCACACCACUUGAUGCCUGCUUGCAACCGCCUGCCUGCUACUGCCUGCUACUACCUGCCUACCCGCUACUGCCUGCCCGCUACUGCCCUGCCUGCCACUGCCCGCUACUGCCUGCCUGCUACUGCCAGUUCCACUCACCCCUGUGCACCACGUGGGGGUGUAGGUAGCACAUGGCGCUGGACACGUCCAGGCCCAGCUGAAGCACCUGUGUGUGUGUGUGUGUGUGUGUGUGUAUGUGUGUGUGCGUGUGUGUGUGUGUGUGCGCGUGCGUGCGUGCGUGCGUGUGUGUGUGUGUGUGUGUGUGUGUGCGGCGGGUGUGUGUUAGGAAGCACAAACGGGCACGGGCAACACUGCGCGGGGGCCGUGCGUGUGCCACGCGGUGUGGUGUGGUGUGGUUUUGCCAUUAAGGUGGAGAUGAGCACCGAGCAGGUCGCAGGCGGGGGAGGAGUUGGCGAAGUAACCCAAGCGCGGGGUGGUGGACUGCGCCCAGGUGGGCAGGUGGCGCAGCUGGCAGGUGGAGGAAGAUGGAGCACCAUGACAUCUAACUACAUGCACGGGCGCCGGACCUGUAAUACCUCUAGGACCGCUGGGACGCCCUUCACUCGCUCACUCACCUCGCCAUAGCUCAUGGCCGGGUGCAGCUUGACGCUGCUGCCGCGGCGCCGCGCGUGCAGCCGGUGGUGCAGUGAGCCCGCGGCCGCCAGCUCCUGACGGGGGAGGAGGAGGGGGCAGUGGGAAGGUUGCAAGGUUGAGACAUCGGGAACAGGAUGCAAGCAGGGGAAUCAGGCAGAGGAGAUGGAGCGGCAGCAGCAGCCAUACCAGGGGCGUAGGGCAACAAGGACGGAUUCGGCAUAUCAGCAAUGCAAGGCACGCGAACAGCUAGCGGCAUCCGUCGGGGUCUUCUCAUGCUGGCUGCCCCCCUGUCUGUGUGCCCGGCCGCCCACCUCCACGAUGCACACGUGUGGCGGUGCCAGGCAGGCCCCGAAGAACUGGACGAUGUGUGGGUGGCUGAGCCGGCUCAGGACCUGCGCGCGCGUGCGUUGUGUGUGCAUUCAUGUGCGGGCACAAGGUGUACGUGAGGCGCGUGUGGGCGGGCGGGAGGGAUGCAGGGGCAGCGACAUAAAGAGAGCAGCUGCGCCUCGCAGUCAGCGCGGAGAGCGAUGCCCCCAACUCAACUACCGUGUGGGUGGGCCUAGCUAGGACAGCCCUCACCGCCCCCAUCGCCCCCACCCGCCCCCACCCGCCCCCACCGCCCUCACCGCCCGCACCCACCUGCACCUCCUGCCGUAUGCUCUCCAGCGCCUGUGGGCACACCGCACCCCCGUCGCCGUCCAGCAGGGGCACCACCUGCAGGUGUGUGUGUGUGCGUGUGUGUGUGCGCGUGUGUGAGUGUGUGUGCAUGUGUGUGUGUGUGCGUGUGUGGGUGUGCGCGUACGUGUGUGUGUGUGUGUGCAUGUGUGUGUGUGUGCGUGUGUGUGUGUGCGUGUGUGUGUGUGCGUGUGUGUGUGUGCGCGUGUGUGUGAGCGUGUGCGUGCGUGUGUGUGUGUGUGUGUGUGUGUGUGUGUGUGUGUGUGUGUGUGUGUGUGUGCGUGUGUGUGAGUGUGUGCAUGUGGUUGCUCACAAGAGCUGUCAAAGCACGUACGAAGACUGAAUUCGUUCUCUCUCUCAGCCCCUCUUGCCCCAGUCCUGCCCCCUCUCACGCUCAGCCCCUCACGCACCUUGACAGCCACGGGCCGCCCCACCCACAGCCCCUGAUACACAGUGCCGUGUGCGCCGCUGCCCAGCCGCCGCUGCAACACCACGUCGCGAGCAAAGUCGAUGGCCACCCAGGAGGCGGCGGCGGCGGGCAGGCCGUGCGGGGUAGGUGCGGCGGCGGCUGGGGUGGUUGGGACGGUUGGGACGGUUGGGGCGGUUGGGCUGGUGGAUGGAGGUGGGUUGGGUGGCAUGGCGGCUCCGGCCGCGGCUGAGGAACGAGCGGCUUUUGCUGUGGUGGCGGCUGGCGCGGCCAGCCCCCGUGGCGAGUCACGUGGCCGCGCGCCGCUAGCAGCCCCCGCAGCAGCAGCAGCACCUUGUGGACCAGCUACAGCCGCCGCCGCCGCCGGCUGCUGCACACCUGCUACUGCCGCCUUCAUGGGUGGGCUGCCAGUGGCGGCGGCAGCCGCCACCUCAGCCGCCACCGGCGGCCGGCGGCUCGCAGCUGUGGCGGCGGCGGCGGCGAUGCUGCUUGUGGCGUAGCUGCCGCUGCUAAGCACACUGGCACUAAAGAGCGAAGUGGGCGCAAGGGACACAGCCAUGGCAUCGCGCGUGCUGCUACUGCCGCAACCGCCGGCUGCUGCCGUGGCAGUAGCACCCACACGCGUGCUGCCGCCGCCGCCGCCGAGGGUGCUGGCGGCGCCGACCGAAUAUCGGGCGCUGGUCGACGGAGCGAAGGCUGCUGCUGGUUGUGGCGGCGACAGUCGUGACUGGCCUUGCUGCCAAGUUGCUGGUGACUGGGCGUGGAGACCGGUAGAAGCAGCGGCGGCCUCGCUGGCAGACUCCGGCGGACCAAGACCCUCCAAGAGUGCUGGGCGCGGCGCCAUCCUCCGACACGUGCCACGCUCCGCCGCCUCCACCGCCUCCACCUCCGCCGCCUCCGCCGCCUCUGCCGCCACAUCUGUCUCGGCCUCCGCCUCCGCUGCCACAUCGGCUCCCGUAUGCAUGUCCGCGUCGGGUGUGUGCGACUGCGGGCGACUGCGACGCGUGGCGGCAGUAGCCGCUGGCGCUGCCACCCCGUCAGCGGCACCGGCCAAGCUCCCGACCACGCCCACGGAUGACGUCGCCGCCAGCAGUGCCAGCCGCCCCAGCAGCUGCGCCGGAGAUGAGCGGCUCGGCUGCAGCCGCCCGCCGCCACCGUUGCAGCGACCAUCUGCACGGCUGGCUGUAGCAGCCGCGGCCGUGCUUGGCAGUAGCCGCCCGGCGCCUGCAGCUACCGCUGCUGCUGCAGCUGGCCGGCCCGACGCGGAUGAAGACACAGCAGCGUGCGGACGGACGUGCGGGUUGCGACCGCCGAGGCUGUGAGUGCCGGGACUGGCACCGGCACUGGCUCCGGCACUUGGAAGUCCUGGCCCGACGGCUGUGGUUGUGGUGGUGGUGCUGUUGGAGGUGGAGGCGGCGGGAUGAUACAGGGUGUGUGGGGGGACCAGGGCGGCGGCGUCGCUUCGGGCCCGGCCAAGGAACGCCGCGUGCGUUGCAUGACGUGGCAGCAGCGGCAGCAGCGGCCGUUGGUGCUGUUGGUGCUGUUGGUGGUGCUGUUGGUGGUGCUGGUGUGACUGCCACAUGCGCGAUGGCGACAACUUUUGCACCGCGCCUGCUGGCCCCGAGCCCGCAGCAGCCACAGCAGCAGCGGCACCAGUGCUGACCCCUGCACCGCCUGUUCCCCCCGCGGAGAUGCCGCUCAGAUGUUGCGGCAGUGCGUCACUCUCCGCCUCUCCAUCGCCCUCAUCCAGACAAACAGCCGGCGACGCUGAAGGCACCGCUGUCCACCCACUGCCACUGCCACUGCCACUGCCACUGCCACUGCCGCGGCCGCCAGUCGCCACGCCGCCGCGGGCCCCAGCCACCUCCUCGCCCUCCUGAUCGUGCCCAUCCUCCUCCUCCCCUUCCUCGUCCUCGCCAUGGGCGACUGCUGCUCCAGCCGCAGCAACCCGCUGCGCCUUCGGCCGACAGCUCGGCCCUGCAGCGGCUGCUGUGGUCAUGUAGGGCAUGCGGCGCACCCCUAGCAGCGCCCCCAGGGUCAGCCCGUGCACUCCGCCUGCUGGACCGCCGGCGGCGGCGGCGGCGGCGCCACUGCCGCCGCCGCUGCCGCCGCCGCCGCUGCCGCUGCUGCUGCUGUUGCCCGCGCCCAUGCUGCCAACACCGCCAGCAGGCACCAGCCAGCGAGGUGGCCAGGAGCCGGCAGAGGGCCCGUACAAGGCCCGCUGCAGCGGGUGCAGCGACGGCACCUGUGCCGCCGCCACCGCCGCCGCCAACCCGCUGCCGCCGCCGCCGCCAGGCCAGGCAUCCACCCGGUAAGCAACGCCACUGCCGUAGGCACCGCCUGCCGUACCGGCGGCGGCGGUGGCAGCCGGCGGCGGCGGCGCCAUCAGCAUCUGCGGCAGCGAGGAGCUCGAGGCGAGCAGCACCUGCACCACACUGCCCGUGGCGCCGCCGCCGCCGCCGCCGCCCGUCACGCCGCCGCCGCCGCCGCUGCUGCGGCCCCUGCUGCCUCCGCCGCCGCUGCUGCAGCCCGCAGAGCGGACCUCACCCAACACACCGCCGCCGCCCACACCUCCAUUACCGCCGCCAAAGCCGUACUGUCCCAACGACCCUUGAGAUGGCAGCAGCACCGGCGGCCCACGGGACUCUGCCACCAAGGCGCCGCCGCCAGCCAUGUGCGACUGCGGCGGCUGCGGCCUGCCGCCGCUGUCUACUCGCUUGGCCUUGUGCCACUGCAGCGACGACAGCGACAGCGGUGGCGAGCAAGACCGCCGCACGUCGACCUCCCUCACAACUGCGCUACUGCCGCUACCGCUAGCACCCGAGGCCCUGCGGAGAGCUUGCCCGCCGCCGCCGACGCCGACGACGACACCGCUGACGCCGAUACCGCCGCCGCCGACGAUGCUGCCGCCGCCGCCGCGGUCAGCACCCUUGCUGAAGCCGCCAUUAGCAGCAGCGGGAGUGGCGCCGGCGUUUGCGGCCUGCACAGGAGACUCGAGCUCCACAAUGCCGUCUAGCACUGGCUGGCGUCUACUGGCAAACGCGGACGGCGGGACGGGCAGCAGAGGGUCACGGCGCCAAGUCUGUUCGCCUGUGGCGGAGGUGCCGGAGCCGGUGCGGGCUAGGCACCGAGAGGCGGCGGCGGCCGUGCCGGCGGCGGCCGCGUAUAUUGCGGUGGUCGCACCGUUCCCAUCACCGUCGUUGCCGUCAGCGUUGCCUGUGGCGGUGGCGGUGGGCGGCUUGCAGCCGCCUUCUGCCAUUACCCGUUGUUGCUGUUGCUGCUUCAGCAGAUGUUGCUGCUGCAGGCGUCGGCGCCGCCUGAACAUCAGUGUUGCCGUCAGGGCCACCGCCAGCAACACCAGCGCGCCCGCCGCUGCCGACCCGCCGACAAUAACACCGCCGCCGCUCUUCCUGCCAGGGCGGCUGACAGCUUGACCCUCACCCCCGCCACCCCCACCGCUGCUGUCGCCUCCCGCGGCAGCGGCUGGUGCUGCCGCCGCUGCCGCCACGGCCGCGACCGUAGCCGCAGCCGCCGUCGCCGCGGCAUCAGCACUACCGCCGCCGCCGCUGCUGUCAGGUGUGUCCUUGCCGUCUGCUUGCUGCGACGACGUCGGCGGUGUUAUGUCCGGGCGCGGCAGCGGCUUGGGUAUCACUGCCUGUGCCGCGCUACUGGCACCGCCGCCGCCAACCCCAGGCGCUGCAGACGUGCUCGACGGAUCACCACCACCGUCACCGCCACCGCUGCCGUCGGAGUGGGCUGGACCGCCGUCGUUGUGGCCGCCACCGGCGGCACCAUCACUGCCGCUGCCGCCGACGCCACCCGGCGCCAUGCCUGCAUCCGGCGGCCCAUCUGAGGCGCCCACGGAAGGCGACGGCAGCGAUGCAGCAGCUGGCGGCGGCGGCGGCGGGGUCAGUGGCGGGGCUGGCGGCGGCGGCGGCGGUUGUAGCGCUGCCUGGCGGGCCGUGAUCGCGUCCCGAAGCUGUUGCAGCACUGCGGUCAGGUUCGUGGCACCGCUGCUGCCGCUACUGGCAUUGACCGUUGUGUUGACAGUCAGACCGCCGCCGCCGCCGGGGUUACUAAGGCUUUUGCUGUCGUACGCGUUGAAACCGCCCUGCUGUGCGAUCUCCUGCAGGGUGGCCAACAGGUCGACUGACACGUCAGCGCCCGCCGCCGCCGCCGUAAGCAGCUCGUGCAGCCGUGCAACCACAUCCGGCGUCAGCACUGGGCUGCUACUGCCGCCUCCAGUGCUACUGCCGCUGCUACUGCUGCUACUGCUGCCGCCGCCGCCAGGCGGCAGCGGCGGCGCGGGCGUUAGCGCCGCCACCAUUCGUGUGAGCUGAGUCAGCGCGGUGCUGAGUGCAGUGAUGGCGUCAGGGGCAGGCGGCGGCGGCGGUGCCGUUUCCGCAGUAGCUGGCCCGCCGCCGCCAGCGCUGCCACUGCUUAUACCACUGCCGUAGGUGCUACUGCCGCCUGUGCCGCUGGCUGCCUCGGGCUCGCCUCCCCCAUCAAGGUCGCCGCAGCAGAAGACGGAGGCACAGGCCAGAUCGGAUGGCGGCGGCGGCGGCGCCAUCGCUUGCGGCGGGAAGCUCGGUCGCGUCGAGGUGUUGAUGGCUGAUUCACCUGUGAUGUCAAGUUGCAAAGUGAACACUAGAUGCUAUAGUGGUACUGGCCGGAAUACACGCAUGUUGCAGACACACCGUACGACGUACAAACCACCGGUACCGUCGCCCAGCCCCACGCACGCCCAACCGCUACCACCGCACGCCACCCACCCGCCCCUUACACCCGCACCACCUGACACCAACCCCACAUCCCCCGCCUCCCCUCCCCUCCCCUCCCCUCCCCUUCUCCCCACCUGGAUCCAUUCCUGCUGGAUCCAAAACCGGAUCCGCGGCCGCCGGAUCCGCCGCCAGCUGGCUGUACGGCAGGCCGCACCCCGGCAGCCCCAGGGAGCUGCUAGGCAGCUGCACGCAGCGCUGCCCGUUCACGAACACAGCCGACCACUCCAGCGUGUCGGCCCGCCGCCAGCCGGGGCCGGCGGAGGUGUUGGGCGCCAGAGCCAGGGAGAAGUUGGCGGCGCCGCCGGCGGCCGGGAUGGUGGCGGCCUCCGCCGAGUUCACCACCCGCACUGGGGAGCCGUCGCCUGCGCGCGCGCGGGUUGUGUAAAUAUGUACGUAAGUAGGGGCGGCGGUGUAGGUGGCAGCAGGGGCAGAUCAGCGCGGCGGGAGACACGAAUGGAGCGCAAGCGGGAGGGGGAAUGGAUGGUGCGUGGCAAGGAGCUGAUCGUGUGUGUUUUUGCGAUUCUGUAAUGCCACGCCCCAGGCCCCCAGCCCCACACGCCCCAGCAGCCAUGUACAACGACUCGCUUAUGCAGCUGCAGUUCUCCUUGCCGCGCGACUGUUUCCUUACGGGAUUGGUUCAACGUUAGCCCCAGCAGCCACCCCGCGGCCCACGCACACGUACCCCCGGUGACCAGCACUGCGCCGCGCACGUCGCCCGCACUGAAAGCGCGCGGGUCGGCGAAGCGCCACACCAGCUGCCAGCCGUACAUGACCGCCUGGUGGCGGGGGGUGUGUGUGUGCAGGAGGUUAGGCGGCGGGUAUGUGUGCGUGCGGGUAGGUGCUCGGUCCGUCCAUCCGGCCAUUGCCAGCCCACCUAGUAGUGCUUGAGCAGCAGCCCCAACCCGCAGCAAACCCCAAACUCCAAACCCGUAGCAAACCCCAAACCCCAAAACCCACACCCCAAACCCCAAUUUCCAAGCCUAGCAGUGCCCAGCGGGGCCACUCACCCGGCCGUUAUUGAUGAUGGCCGCAGUGGCGCACAGAGGCGAGUCGUCGUCCCCCUCGCCACCCCCGGCCUGGGACCCACUGCCGCCCAUGUCAGCGCCACUCCCACCCGCCGGCCCAGCAUCGCCUCCGGAACCGUCGCCCCCACCGCCGCCUCCGCCUCCGCCUCCGUCCCCGCCCCCGCUGCCUUUGGUGCCGCUGUCAUCGACGCCAUGCAGCCGGCGUGCGCUGCCGCCACCGCCGCCACCCGCGCUGCCGUCACCACCACCGCCGCCGCCGGCGGCGCCGCCGGCGCUCUGAAUGGAGGCGGCGAUGGCGGCUGCGGCGGCGGCUGGGUCGGUCCUGGCGGUGCCCUGCUUCACCAGGUACCCCACCACCAGAGGGCAGCUCUGCAAGCCCUGCUGCUGCCGGAACGCCGCCGGCAGCUGCAGCGGCGCCGCCGCACUGCAGCGGGGUGCCACCGCCGCCGCUGGGCCCACGCCGCCGGCGUUGCCGCUGUCGCCACCAGCAGCGGCGCCACUGUUAUUGCCACUGCUGCUGCUGCUGCCGCCGCCUGCAGACUUGGUUUUCGGCUUGCCUGGAGGCUGCUGGUUCUGCAGGUUGCGGCGGUGUUGCUGGUGCUGCACUCCGCUGCUGGCGCUGUUUCUGCCAGCGAUUUGCGGGCCCUGUCCUUUUCCUGCCCCGGCGACACCGUGUGCCCGCCAGAUGUUGCUGCUGCUGCCUGCUGCGCCCUGCAAACCGCGCCGCCGCAUAUGCUCGGCGGAAGCGCUGCUGCCGCUGCUGCUCGCCUCCGCCGCCGCUUCUUCCGUCGCUUGAGAGCCGUGUGGUGCUACUGCAGCAGCCGCUUGCUGUGCGCCCAUGCUUGCAUGCUGUGCCUGCUGUGAGUGCCGCGGGCUAUUGUUGUUGUUGUUAUGGUGGUGCGGGGCAUGCGCCUCCUCCGCCAUCUGCUCCCCCUCCUCUGAAGCACCACCGGCGGCGUCCGGCAGCAAUGCAGACGACGACGUGGCGACGGCGCCGCCAGCCCCGGGCGCCGCCACUCGCGCCACGAACGGCUGACUCAGCAGGCCUGCAAGCAGCGCCAGCAGCAAUCACGGCAACAACUGCAGGGACUAAGCGACCAAUGAAGGGCGUGCUUUAUAUAAUGUAUGCAUGCCAGCAAGCGAAACCGGGUUCUAGUAACGCAUGCGUGCGCCCACCCACGCCCAACGCCCACACCCGACCUCACCGCCGCCAUGUGGCCGUGCCGCCGCCGGACCCACUGCCGUACUGAUGUCGUCCAUGCCGUUGGCAUCUGCUGCGGCUGUAGCGGCGGCGGCGGCGGCGGCGCGUGACGGCGGCAUUGUGCCCACGGCGCACCCAGUCGCCAGCAUCAGCGCCAGCAUCAACACCAGCGCCAGAUACCGCCGAGCUCGCUGCCCACGCCGCACCGUGCACACACCGCCGGUGCCGGCAGGCAGCUGGGGUGCUGCCAGCAGCGCCACCAGACGCGGCCCCACUGCCGCUGCGGCUGCUGCACUCACUUGCUGCUUAAUUAUGCAGCCCUGGAGGAAUAGCACGCCGCUGCCGCUGCCGCUGCCGCUGCUGGUGUCGAUGCUCCUAGUGUGGCGGCUGCCCCUUGAGUCGCCGCAUGCUGCAUCGCGCCCUAUUUUGCAGUGGUGGUGGUGCGGGUGGCGCCGUUGGCGCAGCUCUGAGCCCACCCGCUGCCGGUGCGCCCAAGUUGCAUCUGCAGCGGUGGUGGCCGCGGUGACCACCACCGUCUCCGCUGGGUCCGCCUCCGCGCGUGUUGCUGCCGUGCUGGAUGUCAUUUGUGACUGAUGAGCCCGCGCCGCCUCCGAGGCAGCGGCCGAGCUAGGGGCACCGCGGCCACUGCUGUUGCGCCGGCGAUGCCAUUACGGGCUGCUGAGCUCCGCGUGGGACGCGGCGCAGAGCUGAGGUAGGGGUUGUGGACUGAGCGCGUGCCACCCACUGCUGCCACGCCUGCUGGUGCUGCUGCUGCUGCUGCUGCUGCUGGUGCUGCUGCUGCUGCUGCUGCUCAAGUCGAUGACACUGGUGCUCAGGCUUGCGGCUGCGCACAGCAAUGCACGGCGGGUUUGCUGCACAGCGCGUGUUCCGGCGAGUCUGGCGAAACCGCGGCGGGUGCGGCCUGUCACAGCAGGUGGCCGGUCGGCCGCCGCUGCCUGAUGCUGCCUGUCACUGCCUAGCCCGACACCGCCGGCUCUCCUUGAUACCCAGCAGCACCGGCCUCCAUACCGGUUUGCAAACGGCUGCUGUGUUCCCACUGAUAAGCUGCUGCUCUGCUCGCCGCAACACGCACCAGCAGCGGCGGCGACUCCAACGACGGCGGAUCCAAGCGCCGGGAACGGGCGGAAGCUGGCCCGACACGACAGCAGAAGCUGGGCGAGUGCCGGUACUUGACAGGUGGGGACCGCAAGUGAGAAAGGUCGUCCAGUCGUGUAAUAAUCGUGUGCGUGUGAUGUUGCCGCAGAGCCUGUGAUGAGCGGGGCCAGCGAAGGCGCAAGAGGCGGCGCGAGGGGUUACGGAACCGACCACCGUGGAGAACAGCCCAUCUCUGCAGGCCACACAACAAACAAACUGCUGUGUGUGCGGUGGCUAUGAUGCAACAACACCUGCUUGGGCCGGGAGCGGUGCGAAGCGCCGCCCGGCGGCUAGCUGGAGUUCACAGGAGCGAGCGAGCGCGGGCACUCGAGGAGGUUCCGGCGUUUCCGCGCUCCUAGCCUCCUAGCAACUACACGCACCUGUGGCGAUCUACAGUCUAGAGAUGCUGUUUGUUUCACAAGAGAAAUCUACUUGGAGGAAACCUGCUUUGCGACCGGUGCCAGCUCAUGCGGGUAUCGUGUCCGCCGAGAGGGUUUCGGCCACGGUUUCGGCCUGGACUCUUGGCCGCUCCGAACGACUCACGAUGGCGGGCUGUGUGUGGGACGCUUGCCACUGUGAAGGGAAAGCGCUCCGCCACAUGCAGUGUGAGGGGGCAUGCCUGGUUGCUUGAAGUUCAGUACUCCUGUGUCCCCUGUCAGAGGCCAUCCAUCCACGGGCGCGCCGACACCGCCGACCGCGCGGUCUAGGUGACAUGCUCGUAUUAAACCCUUUGUCAAGAGAAGUUUUAGAAUGUUAUGUGGAUCGCGAGCAAGCUGAAGUCGCCAGACGAGGAAAAGGGACAAGAAUGAUGACAGCUUGCCCGCGACACUUCCUGCAUUCCUUGUGAAUGCUGGUAUAUAUUCUGAGUAUCCUUUAGUCUGCUCGCUUGCUAUCGGAAGUUGAUGAAUGCUUGUGGCCGAUUACGUGAGUUCCCGCGCUUGAACGCGCAAGCCCAAUUGCCUUGCCAACUUGUUCUGCCUCAUUGUUCACAAGAGUAAACACGUAAUGAGCUAAUUAAGACUCAGAACUCUGCUGAGUUUGUGGCGGGCCUUUCCAGAAGGCAGAAGUUUGCUAUCGGCGCGCGCACAGCCAUGGCUGACGAGGGCCAUGAUGGUGCGGACGAAACGACGGAGCAACAGCAGCAACUCACCAUUGUCCGAAUAAAGCGCCGGCGAGACGAGCCGGCCGCGAACGAAAUUAGUGAGUGCUGUGUGUGGCUCUUGCAUUGUCAUUGGCUAUGCACUGCCUGACAUUCAACACUUGCAUCGUAUCCGCGCAGUUUUGGAAGCGGCUGGGUUCAGGAGCCGGAGCAAGCAGCCUCGGUUCGAUGAGUUGCUUAUGCAGCUGCAGGGCCUGACGUUCGCGGGCGGCACGGCUGCUGCUGCUGCUGCGGACGCCACAGAUGAAGCAAUCCCGCGGAGGCGCUUCCGGCGGUUGCGCACGGUCGACGUGUCGGUUUUAGAGGUGGGUGUCCGGGGAAACGCUUUCCCGCCACCGCUGCGGUGCAAGCCUGGCCUCCGACACGGCCGUCGCCAUGCGGGCUUCUUUGACCUCAUAGACGGCGCCUGCACAUAUCGUCUCAUCUCUUUUGAUAAUACAAUGCACAGGGUAUGUCGGAGGCGGAGCUGCUGCGCCUGCUGCGCUGCCAGUCGGGCGCCACCGCCUCCACCAGCGGCCCUGCGGAGCCCUCGCCCCACGGCGGCGACGCAGCAGAGUCCUCAGCUGCAGGGACCGGCAAGCAGCCCGCUGGCAAGCCCACCCAGUCGGCAGCAGCAGAUUCCAGGGAGGAGCAGCAGCAGCAGCAAGAGCAGCCGGCAGCACAGGAGCAGCAGCAACGGCCGCAGCGGAGGCGGCAGCCGCAGCCGCUGUCGCAUUCCGGCUCGGAGCAGGGCGGGCGGCGGCCGUUCCGCGGCACGCAAGGUCCCAGCAAGGAAACACGGAUGGCGGCACUGCGAGAGACGCACAAGCAGGCGGGCGCGGCGGCGCGAUACAAGCAGGUGCGGGGGGAGCAACUCCGGGAUUUAAGCAGCACGCGCGCACGCACGCAGACACGCACAGACAUUCGAGUCCGGGGCCUCUGGGGCGCUCUUCGUAUGUAAGUGCACCCUCACUCCUCAAUGCUUCCGCCCCACGCCUUCCCCUGCAGAUCCGCCGUAUGCGCGAGGCGAACGCGCCAGACGGCGAGGGCGGCUGCAGCGGCGGCGGCCUCUUCCACGUGUACGACCUGGAGCGACUGCCCGCCGCACCCGCACACGCGCCCGCAAGGGGGACGCGGGGGGCUGCCCGGGCCGCCCGCCAUGGCUCACAGGCGGGGCCGCGGUCCUCUGCGGCGGCGGCGGCGGCGGUAGGUGGCAGCGGCGGCGCGGGGGCGGCGGCGGCCGCGCCAGCUGGUCCGGCCUUCAGGUCGGCGGCUGUGCAGGAGCAGGAGCAGGCGGCGGAUGGUGUCAGUCAGGAGGAGCAGCUUAUCAAACAGCGCUACGGUGCCAUGGUGAGGAGUGGCGCUCGUGGGUGUCAGCAUAUGUUGUGCUAGGAAGCCACACGGAGGGGGGGUGGUUGUGCGGCGGUUUUCGUUGUAGUGUUUGGCGGUUGAUGUAAUGGGCUCAGGAGGUCUUGUUGUGGGCAAGGGUCGGGCUGGUGAUGGGGCCCGCAUCUGGCAUUGUUGCUGGUAUCACUCCUCGCCUCGUACAGUGCAAUGCUACUGCCGUACUCGGGCCCUGAGUCUCUUCCUUUCCUUCCUUUCGCUGCAGGUGGAUGACUAUCUGCGGGAGGUGGGCGGCGAGGCAGCUGGCAGCCAGCCACAGCCACAGCAGCCACAACAGCAGCGGCGCAUUCCCGCCCGGCAGCGGAGAGCGCAGCAGCAGGCGUCCGCAGCCAUGACGGCAGCCCCGGCCCAGGCUCAGUCACAGGAUAGUCGCAGCUCCGACGUGCCCGCCACCGCCACCGGCGCCGAAAGUAGGCCGGCGGCUGGCAGUGCCGCACCCGCUGCUGCUGCAGCUGCAGCUGCUGCUGCUGGCGCCGCCACUGCGUCAGCUUCGGCAGCGGGGGCACCGCCAGCGCCCUCCACGCCCGCCGCCACAAACGGCGGCACGGCCGCUGCCAGUGGCGGUGGCGGCGGCGUCGACUCCGCCGCAGCGGCCGACAGCGACGCCACUGGCGACGACGACGGCGCUGGCUUUGUGUACGAUGUGUACGUGCCCGUACCGGACGGCGAGGACGACGACGCCGCAGGCGGCGACGGCGGCGGCGCGGCGGCGAUGGAGGCGGAGGAGCUGUGGCCGUGGGCGGACGCGCCCUCCGGCUCCGACCUGUUCGUGCCCGUCAUUGAGGUGGGCGGCGGGCCGGGCGGGCCGGGGGCUGUAGCACGGGGGUUGCAGGCGGUUGUAGCAGCAGCGGCGGCGGCGGCGGCGGCCGGUGCCUCGGCUUGCAGCGGCGGCUCUGCAAUGUCGUGGGGCGGUGGCGGCGGCGAGGUUGGCGGCGGGGCUGAGGUUAUGUCGCCGUGCUCGUGCCGCGUGUGCGAGGGCCGCGGCUCUCGCGCUCGCUCGCGCCUCGCGCAUUGCGAGGGCGAGAGCGGCAGUGACGCCGACAGCGACAGAGACGGGGGCUUGUUGGGGGAGGCGUUUGGCAUGCUGCUGGGGGUGUGAUGGCUGGGACUGUCUGUGGUUUGGGCGGGUUGUGUCGAACCCAAACCCGGGAGACAUGGGCGACAUUAAGCGGUGUGAACUGGGGCCAAUGGACUAAACACUUGCCGGCACUGUAGCAGGGGCGAAUGUCGCACUGCCUUAUCAUUAUUAUUGCGGGCCAGGGCUAGAGGCGUUUGCGCUCUGCUGUGCACGCUGUGGCUUUUUAGCAUCGGCCUAAGAGUACAGCAAAGCCGUAUCGCUGGCGGAAACAGGCCGGGGCCGCGACCAGACAAUAACACGUCGACGCGCGUGCAGUUUUUGACAGGUACUAGGCGGAAUAUGCGAAUGUAGCAAGGUAGUGCGCAACUACUCCUCUGAUACUAUGCGCGACAAGGCAGGAAUGCGCGCGCACGUGCGGCCGUGUGCGUUUUGCGUUGCAACGGCGCAACGGCCAAGGGUGUUCUCGUCGUGUGGACACACGUUGGCGUACGACGUGUAGACCAACCUAUUGCAGACAUAUAGUUGAGAUAUGCCGGGUUGCAAACGUGAUGCUGUCUAUCAAUCUGCUUGACAUUUUUUACUUCUUCAAUGUACGGACUCCAAGUUGAUGGGUGGUUUAGAAGCCUGACAUGAACUUGGUGUGCCUCAGCAAAAACAUUGUGGCCGCUGCGCUGCAACGCUAGAUUCAGCUUGCAUGGAUGCUCGGGGCGAGACCUCAUCUUUACUUCAUUCAUUAUUUCCAGCGUGCAAAAGCUAUGGCUUGUGGAGAAAGGGCGCCAGUGUGGAGGAUAUGGCAGACCUUGCAAACACGGAGAGGGUUUGACGGACUGCGGUUAGUCAUUCUAAAUUGUUAACGGUACAGUAUGUUGCCGUUAGCUGGUAGUGAGG
rnacentral:lncRNA from 1 species